rnacentral:lncRNA from 1 species
UUUUGGGGGUGUGACAGAUUGGUAUCAGAGCCAUUGGUUAUAGAGAACUAGGUUUUAAUAUGGGAAAACGUUUUUAUUAAAACCAGACUAUAACCAGAACAGUGCUCUCAACGAUCCACAACGACGCUUCGCUCCACGUGCAAGACUCAACAUCCUAGGUAAUAAGGUUUAUGUUUAUUGCCUACAUGCUGGAAUUACAUAGAACUUUGCUCGUGGUCGUUAGAUACAUGGAGCUUGCACAUGGAGGAGCUGGUCGUUGUGGGCUUGGAUCGUGA